UGUUCAGCUGCUAACCUUUCUUUGAUCCAAAUCCUGUGUUCACUGGCUUCAAGAAUCCUGUCUUCAUUGGCUUCAAGAAUCCUGUCUUCAUUGGCUUCAAAACUGGGAUGAAGGAGGCUCCUUAGUGGAGAGCAAACCAAAGAGAAACUCAAAUUGGAUUCAUAUUAAAGAAGAGAAGGAUGGAUUUGUUGAGACAACACAAACCCAGGAAGGGUUUGAGGGGUGAAACAAACUGGGUUAUGGAUGAACAGCGGGCAAUUGGAAUGUAGAACUGAAACAGCAAUUAACAUCUUGACUCGGUUUUUGUGACUUGGUCACUGCAGACCUUUCGGAAGGUGUGGUGCUCAUUCUUGUUAAACCAGUUGAGAAUUUCCCCAAUCCUUUGGCCCUGCACACAAGUGUAGCUGCUCUUCCAAUCAAUGGGACCUUUGUGUGCAGCAGGGCAGAAGGA
rnacentral:antisense_RNA from 1 species